AUGUCCAGCAGUACAGAGGGCCACAGGUUUAGGAUUCUUGGAAUGAGCUCUCUCUACUUAACACAGCCUUUCGACACUUGUGUAAUAGAGUUCCCAGUUGGCAAGGGUUGUGUCAUUUAUCGCUAAAGUUCUUGGCCCAGUGCCUGACACAUAGGUGUUUUGGUUUUUUUUUUGGUGUUUGGUUUUUAUACUAGUGAACAAGUAAGCCAUUGCUGGGUGGUGUCAGUGAGUGCUGUGGCCUUUUUCCCUUUCUGCAGGAGUGGAAUGAAACAGCUUGUUUUGUAUCCCAGUAUAUACCUUAUCUGUAGCACUAUUCUCAUUCCUCUGUCUCCUUUCGGUCCCCACAGUGAGUAGGGACAACAGGGCAGUACCACAUCCUUAGAGUCCUCUAAAUCAGGAGUUGGUGCCAGCUACACAUUUUUAUAAAUGAAGUUUUAUUAGACCACAGCCGUGCCCAUUCAUUUAAGUAUUGUCAAUGGAUGCAUUGUGCUAUAAUGGCAGAGUGGUUGCGGGAGAGACCACAUGGCCCACAAAGCCUGAAAUAUUUAUUAUCUGGCCCUUGAGAGCCCCUGCUGCAGCCACCUGGAGCCUGCAAGUUAUAUACAAGUUGUUAAUUAUAUCCUUUAAAAACCAAAGCCAGUUUUUAAUAAACAGUUUGGAGAAUCAAAGAUAAUACAGCAGAAAGAUGCAUUUGCUUUGUUCUAAUAAUGAUUAAUUUCUGUAAGAGGUCCUGACUGUAAAAAUAAGGAAUAUUUCCACAAAUUAAAGGUCAAAAGUUAUUUAAUAUGUUGAAUGAAACAUUUGGGUAUGUUGGAAAGAGAGUAUGCUCUAGGAGGCAAAAAAGGGGUUCCCCUCAGGAGGUCCCUUUCGGGAUCUGAUCCAGUUCCCUGACUUGGGGAAAGAGAAGCCUCUGGGCUGGACUUCGCCAUGUGUCCUCUGCCACACGCACACCCACUUGGAGGCUCUGAUCCCUGAGAAGGGCAGUGUCUGCAUAAAGGACAUAUGUCUUUAGGGUGUUUUACAUUACUGGAAAGAAAGGUUUCUAAAAAUAAACCCAGGUUCUUAAUUUUGGUUUAAGUACAGAUUUCUGUAAGUUUCCAAGUGUAUUACGAUUCUUUACAGUAUUGACUCACAGCUACUUAAAUGACCUAAACAUGUGGAGAAGAUGGGACACUUGCUGUUUCUGCCACAGACACUCACUUUAGGAAUGUGUAGAAAAUUAUUUUUUACUUUUGAGUGGGUAAAAGGCUGUUUGUAUCCCUCCAUAGUGGCCUUUUGUUCUUAGUUUGAAUACAUACAUAUAUACGUGUAGUAUUGUCAUCUAGAACUAUUUAAUUAUAAAUCCAAACGGUAGUACAGUUUAAAUGGUUCAGGUGUCUCCAGUUUUCCAGUCUGCUGGUUUCCCAAGUAUAUCCGGAGCUGGGGGAGCCAGUCUUGCUGUCCCCUUGGCUAGCCUCACUCCGUGCUUGCUGCUCACAUCGUGAGAAGCUGCUUGUUCUGAGGAUGACUCCUGAGUUCCAACACACAUUUCUCUUACAACACGUUUCUAAACCGAAGCCAACUCCUAGAUUCAGUACUUCGCUGAAGAAACCACUCUAAGAAAUCAUUCUACCCUUGAAUUUCACCAUGGGCACGUGCCCUGCCCUGCCCCCAUUAGUUGUGACCCCAGUGUACAUUUUGAAAAAUGAGGUUUCUGCUGUUGCUCCUUUCCUAAGUGUUCAUUGUGUAUUUUCAGUAACUAUAGCAAGUUUCUGAAAACAGUAAUUAUGUAUCUCCUGGCCUUGUGGGAUCUGCCCCAAAGCAUGCUCCCAGUAUAUCCCAUGACAGGCCAGCUACAAAAGAGUGGGCAGGACUGUGGGCCUUGUUGGGCCUUGUGUCCCAGCACCGUGCCUAGCCAGACUAGGUACUCGGUGAGCAUUACUUUUUAAAUGGAUGAAUGAAUACAUCGAUUUUAUUCAAAGUGAUUGAUGAUGACAUGCUUUCAAUUUCUUGAAUAAUUCUGUAGUGCUAAAUUGCCAGUAAAUGCAGAGGGAAUGUGAAAAUAAAAACAUUUUCUAAUUU